rnacentral:lncRNA from 1 species
CAUGCACCAAUUGAUGCUCCAUCAUUCACAUUUGGAAUCCCAUGCCUUGUGUACCACAUGUUGUUGCACCUUUGACCCAUUUAUUGACACAUUUUCACCUCCCUUUCCAUCUCUAUGCAAUGUACACAAUCAUUCAUGCUCCCUAGCUUCAAGACCACUCCAUUUUACCCUUCACACUUUGCAUCAUCACUUCAUUUUCACCCUUGGACAAUUGCACACCACACACACAAAUUACCAUGCAUUUCAUCCUUAACCUAACCUGAUUUUCUAAGGUUUUUGGGGCCUAUAAAUACAUGUUUACACCCCUUGGCCAAAGGAAAAUCCCCCAUAUUCAUCAUUUUAUAACAGAAAUUCGUCCAUACACACCCUAGGAAGCAAAACA